UAAAUCUUAAUUCAAAAUUGUAUAUUAAAUUAUUACAAUUAUAAAACUAUAUAGUUUAAUAUCCAAAACAUGUUUUGAUUUCAUGUAAUGUAAUGAAAAUCUUAUUUGUAAAUUAUUGGUUACAAUGUUUAACAACAGGAAAUAUUCAAGAAUAAAUAAAAUAAAAGUUUCCCCUAACAACAAAACAUUCCAGAAAUUCUACUAUCAAAGUUCUAUUCCGUGAACAUCUGAUUAAAUUAUGGCUGGAAAGUUACCACAAGAUAUUCUAUGAAAAGAGUACAAUGUCCUCCUGGAGGGGUAAAAUUUUCCAUACUCUAAAGAGAGGCCAUUUACUAUUCAAUUUGCGUUCAUUUUCAAAUUUGCCGCGCGAGUAUCUAUGUAGCGUCGCGUGGUCAUUGGUCAUCAAGUCAUCAAUUAUUUCAUUUUCAUCAUAAGAUAACCUAAAAAUUUAGUAAAAAUUUUGAUUGGAAAAAAAUGCAUCGAUAAGGGGGUGAAAAAUGGAAAUUAGUGGCUUUUUUUGCUGUACUCAACUGUACUGUUUAGUAUGCUAGUCUUGGCUAUGGCUGGAUCUCUUAAACAAUUAUAAUCAGCUGAAAGUGGUCUACAAAAAACCAGAUAUAACCAAAAUAAAGAUAUAAAAAGUGUAUUGGCUAAUUGGAAGAAACAACAUUGUCCAUGCAUAAUAAGUUAUUACUUUAUAAACAAAUAUUAAUACCUAGGAAUGGAACCUGGAUAUAAUCAUCAAGAAGAUAGCAGGAAUCCCGACAAACAACUUAAAUAAGUACAAGAAUAUUGAGGAAAUCCUCCUCGAUACUACUGGGCAAACUAGAAGAUUGAAGAGGACAAAGCCUUUUGAACUAGUUUGAGUGAUAGGUGAUAGUGAAAAGCAGAGCAUAGUGCGUGAUGUGGCUGUGUAUGUUAGAAUAGUGCACGAUCUUGUUAGAUUAGAUAAGAGACGCUAUCGGGUAAGCUCUUCAUUUUAAGAAACAUUAGUAAUUUAGGUUAAAUUAAAAUUGCUCAUUGGUCAGUUAUGACCAGAUUGCUUUUUUUAUGUUUGGCAAAAAGGGCGUAAGUCAGAAUUGCACAUUGCUAAUGUUUUGAUGAUUUCUGGACCAGCAAAAAACUGUUGUAGACGUAAACUGUAUGUACCAAUAAAAAGAGCCGAUUUUUCUGGUCCAGAAA